rnacentral:rRNA from 1 species
UCAGAUUGAACGCUGGCGGCAUGCCUAACACAUGCAAGUCGAACGGAAACAGGACGCUGUGAUCUCUUCGGAGUGAACUUGUCGCUGUCGAGUGGCGGACGGGUGAGUAAUGCAUAGGAAAUUGCCUUGAAGUGGGGGAUAGCCCGGAGAAAUCCGGAUUAAUACCGCAUGCGCUCUACGGAGCAAAGUGGGCCUCUGAUUUAAGCUCAUGCUUUGAGAUAUGCCUAUGUCGGAUUAGCUUGUUGGUAGGGUAAAAGCCUACCAAGGCGACGAUCCGUAGCUGGUUUGAGAGGAUGAUCAGCCACACUGGGACUGAGACACGGACCAGACUCCUACGGGAGGCAGCAGUGAGGAAUAUUGGUCAAUGGGCGGAAGCCUGAACCAGCCAUCCCGCGUGCAGGAAGACGGCGCUAUGCGUUGUAAACUGCUUUUCCAGGGAAAGAAAACCCCCGACGUGUCGGGGUUUGCCGGUACCCUGGGAAUAAGCAUCGGCUAACUCCGUGCCAGCAGCCGCGGUAAUACGGAGGAUGCAAGCGUUAUCCGGAUUUAUUGGGUUUAAAGGGUGCGUAGGCGGAUUAAUAAGUCAGUGGUGAAAACCUGCAGCUUAACUGUAGACUUGCCAUUGAUACUGUUAGUCUUGAGUACGGUCAAGGUAGGCGGAAUGUGUAAUGUAGCGGUGAAAUGCUUAGAUAUUACACAGAACACCGAUUGCGAAGACAGCUUACUGGGCCAUUACUGACGCUGAGGCACGAAAGCGUGGGGAGCGAACAGGAUUAGAUACCCUGGUAGUCCACGCCGUAAACGAUGAUCACUCGCUGUUGGCGAUACACAGUCAGCGGCUAAGCAAAAGCAUUAAGUGAUCCACCUGGGGAGUACGGUCGCAAGACUGAAACUCAAAGGAAUUGACGGGGGCCCGCACAAGCGGAGGAACAUGUGGUUUAAUUCGAUGAUACGCGAGGAACCUUACCUGGGCUUAAAUGUAGAGUGCAUGAUGUGGAAACAUAUCUUCCCUUCGGGGCUCUUUACAAGGUGCUGCAUGGUUGUCGUCAGCUCGUGCCGUGAGGUGUCGGGUUAAGUCCCAUAACGAGCGCAACCCUUAUCGUUAGUUGCCAGCGGGUAAUGCCGGGAACUCUAACGAAACUGCCGGUGUAAACCGUGAGGAAGGUGGGGAUGACGUCAAAUCAGCACGGCCCUUAUGUCCAGGGCUACACACGUGUUACAAUGGCCGGUACAGAGGGCAGCUACCUGGAGACAGGAUGCGAAUCUCGAAAGCCGGUCUCAGUUCGGAUCGGAGUCUGCAACUCGACUCCGUGAAGCUGGAUUCGCUAGUAAUCGCGCAUCAGCCAUGGCGCGGUGAAUACGUUCCCGGGCCUUGUACACACCGCCCGUCAAGCCAUGGAAGUUGGGGGUACCUGAAGUCCGUAACCGUAAGGAGCGGCCU